UGGAGAGUACUGUUCAUUCUCGUAAUCUUCAUCGUCAUCCUCAGGGUUGAAAGGAUCAGCAUUCUCAUUUUCUGAAUCUGUCUCUGUUUCCUCUUCUUGAUCCUUCGGAAUUCUGAUUUUGAUUCCCGCAGCCUGUCCUUUAAGCCUUCUUCCCGGGUUAAUGUAACUCACAGCUUUCUUGUCUUUCUUUUUCUCGAGCAAGAGAGCUUUCAGUUCCUCCUGCCCCCUGGAUAAGUUCAAGAUCAUCUCCUGGAGUUGAGCAUUCUGAGCAUGGAGAUCCUUGACAGUUUGUUCGAGGUCCAUUUUUCUGUGUGGAGGAAAACCGUGAGAACACUGAUCCCUUUAGAGUACCUGUUAUGCUAUGUUAUGCUAUGCAAUGCAUGAAAUGUUUUCAAGGCCUUUUGGAAUUUAACUUUGCAUAAACUACCGAAAAGGGAAACUUUUUUUGUUUUGUUUUUUU
rnacentral:lncRNA from 1 species